rnacentral:rRNA from 1 species
AUUGAACGCUGGCGGCAUGCUUUACACAUGCAAGUCGAACGGUAGAGGGGGCAACCCCUUGAGAGUGGCGAACGGGUGAGUAAUGCAUCGGAACGUGCCCAGUCGUGGGGGAUAACGCAGCGAAAGCUGUGCUAAUACCGCAUACGAUCUCUGGAUGAAAGCGGGGGACCGAAAGGCCUCGCGCGAUUGGGGCGGCCGAUGUCAGAUUAGGUAGUUGGUGGGGUAAAGGCUCACCAAGCCAACGAUCUGUAGCUGGUCUGAGAGGACGACCAGCCACGCUGGGACUGAGACACGGCCCAGACUCCUACGGGAGGCAGCAGUGGGGAAUUUUGGACAAUGGGCGCAUGCCUGAUCCAGCAAUGCCGCGUGCAGGAAGAAGGCCUUCGGGUUGUAAACUGCUUUUGUACGGAACGAAAAGGUCUGGGUUAAUACCCUGGGCACAUGACGGUACCGUAAGAAUAAGCACCGGCUAACUACGUGCCAGCAGCCGCCGUAA